UACGUAGGGUGCGAGCGUUGUCCGGAAUUAUUGGGCGUAAAGAGCUUGUAGGCGGUUUGUCGCGUCUGCUGUGAAAAUCCGGGGCUCAACCCCGGACUUGCAGUGGGUACGGGCAGACUAGAGUGUGGUAGGGGGAGAUCGGAAGUUCCUGGUUGAGCGGUGAAAUGCGCAGAUAUCAGGAGGAACACCGGUGGCGAAGGCGGAUCUCUGGGCCAUUACUGACGCUGAGGAGCGAAAGCGUGGGGAGCAAACAGG
rnacentral:rRNA from 1 species